GCUGCCGUAGUGUAGUGGUCAGCACGCUCGGCGCGUAUUCGAGAGGUCCGUGGUUCGAGUCCCGGCGAGGGCA
rnacentral:tRNA from 1 species